rnacentral:rRNA from 1 species
CGAAAGCCUGACGGAGCAAUACCGCGUGAGGGAGGAAGGCUCUUGGGUUGUAAACCUCUUUUCUCAGGGAAGAAUUCAAUGACGGUACCUGAGGAAUCAGCAUCGGCUAACUCCGUGCCAGCAGCCGCGGUAAUACGGAGGAUGCAAGCGUUAUCCGGAAUGAUUGGGCGUAAAGCGUCCGCAGGUGGCAUUGAAAGUCUGCUGUCAAAGAGUCUGGCUCAACUAGAUAAAGGCAGUGGAAACUACAAAGCUAGAGUACGUUCGGGGCAGAGGGAAUUCCUGGUGUAGCGGUGAAAUGCGUAGAGAUCAGGAAGAACACCGGUGGCGAAAGCGCUCUGCUAGGCCGUAACUGACACUGAGGGACGAAAGCUAGGGGAGCGAAUGGGAUUAGAUACCCCAGUAGUCCUAGCCGUAAACGAUGGAUACUAGGUGUUGCUUGUAUCGACCCGAGCAGUACCGUAGCUAACGCGUUAAGUAUCCCGCCUGGGGAGUACGCAGGCAACUGUGAAACUCAAAGGAAUUGACGGGGGCCCGCACAAGCGGUGGAGUAUGUGGUUUAAUUCGAUGCAACGCGAAGAACCUUACCAGGGCUUGACAUGUCGCGAAUCCUUGUGAAAGCAGGGAGUGCCUUCGGGAGCGCGAACACAGGUGGUGCAUGGCUGUCGUCAGCUCGUGUCGUGAGAUGUUGGGUUAAGUCCCGCAACGAGCGCAACCCUCGUUUUUAGUUGCCAUCAUUAAGUUGGGCACUCUAGAGAGACUGCCGGUGACAAACCGGAGGAAGGUGGGGAUGACGUCAAGUCAGCAUGCCCCUUACGUCCUGGGCUACACACGUACUAUAAUGCUACGAACAGAGGGCAGCAAGCAUGCGAAUGCAAGCUAAUCCCGGAAAUCGUAGCUCAGUUCAGAUCGCAGGCUGCAACUCGCCUGCGUGAAGUUGGAAUCGCUAGUAACUGCAGGUCAGCAUACUGCAGUGAAUUCGUUCCCGGGCCUUGUACACACCGCCCGUCACACCAUGGAAGCUGGUAGUGCCCGAAGUCAUUACCCCAACCUUUCGGGGAGGGGGAUGCCUAAGGCAGGA